UCAGUUCCCAGAUUGUGUGUCGUCCA
rnacentral:piRNA from 1 species